rnacentral:tRNA from 1 species
GCGUUCCUAGCUCAAUUGGUAGAGCGACGGUCUCCAAAGCCGUUGGUUCCAGGUUCGAGUCCUGGGGGGCGCG